rnacentral:rRNA from 1 species
AGGAUGAACGCUGGCGGCGUGCCUAACACAUGCAAGUCGAACGUCCUGUCUCGCAAGAGGCAGGGAGUGGCGGACGGGUGAGUACCACGUGGGUUAUCUACCGUGAGGUGAGGAAUACCGGCGAGAAAUCGCCGACAAAACCGCAUAGGCUCGAUGCAAGUCGAGCAAAGCUUUCUCGCAAGAGGGAGCGCCACACGAGGAGCCUGCGCCCGAUUAGCUGGCUGGUGGAGUAAUGGUUCGACCGAGGGCGACGAUCGGUAGCUGGUCUGAGAGGACGAUCAGCCACACUGGGAUUGAGAACGGCCCAGACUCCUACGGGGGGCAGCAGUGAGGAAUUUUCGUCAAUGGGGCAACCCUGAACGAGCAACGCCGCGUGCAGGAAGAAGGUUUUCGGAUCGUAAACUGCUUUUCGUCGGGGAAGAGAACGGACGGUACCCGAGGAACGAAGCCCGGCUAACGUACGUGCCAGCAGCCGCGGUAA